CCCUAUGGGGUGCAGCAGGCGAGAUAUUCGGAAAAAGUUAAACAGAAGGCAGACCUAAAAGGAAACUGGAGUAUUACGGGUAUUAUUACAUUUUCGGAAGGAAGCGUUAAGGACGUUCCGAAUGAUAAGCUACUGGAACUGGGGAAAAAAGCAGUGCGGAAAAUAUCAGCGGAAUUAGGCGUGAAGCCCCUUUACGUCAGUUUACAUCUUGACGAAAAAACGGCGCACCUUCAUUAUCAACUUGAGAACCUGAACCGGGAGACCGGGCGCACCGUGGC
rnacentral:rRNA from 1 species